CUGCAAAUUUCGACGAGAGAAAUUGAAAUUGUGAUCUUGAAUCUUCCCUUUACGAAAACAAAUUAUGUAGUAUUUUUGAAGCAUAUUUCGCCUGAGGAAAUAAAUUGUAUGGUGGUACUCAGUCUACACGCGCCAUACCGGAAAUUCAUUCAUCGUUGAGUAGUUGACGGUCGUCCACGGUCUUUUGGAGCGGAACUCUCUAGAGAAGAAAUAUCUGCGGUGCUUAUGAAUUAGGGGCGGUCUAACGAACGACUUAUCGACAAAGAUAUUCUGAGUAGCUUUCGUGGGAGCUCUUUAAUCCAGGUACAAUAAGUGAUCAAUGAAUGGUGAUAUUGGACGAAGAGGUGACUCCAGUCCCACUGACAGUGGAGUAGACACGCGUGAGUGGGAGGAAACACACAGAGGACCAAGGAUGUCAUUAGAACCCUACAGUUUUGGAAGUGACUCUUCCUGGUCAAAUCUAAAUGGGGUUGAUGCAAAGAAAAA